GAUGAACGCUGGCGGCGUGCCUAAUACAUGCAAGUCGAGCGAACAGACGAGGAGUUUGCUCCUCUGACGUUAGCGGCGGACGGGUGAGUAAUAAGUGGAUAACCUACCUAUAAGACUGGGAUAACUUCGGGAAAUCGGAACUCAUACCGGAUAAUAUAUUGAACCGCAUGGUUCAAUAAUGAAAGACGGUUUUGCUGUCACUUAUAGAUGGAUCCGAGCCGCUUUAGCUAGUUGGUACGGAAACGGCUUACCAAGGCAACGAUGCGUAGCCGACCUGAGAGGGUGGGCGGCCACACUGGAGCUGAGACACGGUCCAGACGCCUACGGGAGGCAGCAGUAGGGAAUCUUCCGCAAUGGGCGAAAGCCUGACGGAGCAACGCCGCGUGAGUGAUGAAGGUCUUCGUAUCUGAAAACUCUGUUAUUUGGGAAGGACAAAUGUGUAAGUAACUAUGCACGUCUUGACGGUACCUAAUCAGAAAGCCACGGGUAACUACGUUC
rnacentral:rRNA from 1 species